AUCCUUUUGUAGUUCCUACGUAUGAUGACUGGGUGUUCUCGUGCAUGCAUGACAUGUGCCUCCCUCAAACCUUGUGAGGUUGUUAGCACAUUACCUGUUUAAUA